GAAGAAAUAAGGGUGCUUUCGAGACCCGACUCUCAUUAUUAUUACCCUGUGCAUUAAACUUUUUUUAUAUUAAACACUACCAAGUAAUGAAUGUAAUCAGCUUGUUUUGAACAAGUAAAUAACAAAAUAAAACUUUCAGCAACGGAUCUCUUGGCUCU
rnacentral:misc_RNA from 1 species